ACAAUAUAACAAAAACAAAAAAGGAAGUGUAAUUUAUACCACCUGUCAUCUUAUUUAAGGUUACAGUAUAAUCCAGACUGCAUUACUUGGGGCCGUAUCUGUGGCAGUUUUUAAACCAGUGCAAGUGUGUGGGGACCUGUGUGUUAUGAGCGUAAGCACGUCUCAUGAUUCUUCACUUAAAUGGUGCAAAGUAAAGCCAAGAGUCCUUGUCACUCACCCAGUUAAUUCAUAAGUGCUGCAAAACGUCUGGUCGAGUGACUAUGUGCAUUUUUCCUGCGUGGAACAGCAGUUAUGUGUAUAUUUGAUUCAGGAUAAAAGUGAGUCGUGAUGUAUGUCUGUCAUUUGAGACCUCAGACUUUGUCAGCUUCAUUUCCCAACAUCAUGUAACCGAUAACAGGCUGCCCUUGAGAGACCUCAAUUUGAAAAACAGCGCAGUGGUGCUAAGCACACAUGCACACACAAACCCUCGGUAAUCAGCGAGAAGGAUGGAAUCCUGGUCUUAUGCUCUGCACCAUAAUCCAGUUUAUAAGGAUUAAUUAGGAAUUAAGGAGUGUAAUGUUAUCAGUGCAUGAUUCGUUCACAUGCGCGUACACCCGUGCACAUACACACCUCACUCUGUUUCAGUGUAUAUAGGACGAGGAUUAUUCAGAACCACCUUAGAAAAGUUA